AAUAAUAAUAAUAAUAAUAAUAAUAAUAAUAAUAAUAAUAAUAUAAAGUUUCUCUCAGGUGAAUUUAGAUAAUGUAUUAUGUCUGUUGUUAUAGAGUAUUUGCAUGUUAUAUCUGCACAAAACUAGCCAUGGAUAUUAUGGUAUGGAUCCCUGUUGACACCAUGGAGGAAAAAAAAGAAAAAGCUUAUUGUGACUUUAUAUUGCACAAUUCUGACUUUAUUUCUUACAAGUGUAAAUCUCGCAAUUCUGACUUUAUUUCUUACAAGUGUAAAUCUCGCAAUUCUGACUUUAUUUCUUACAAGUUUAAAUCUCGCAAUUCUGACUUUAUUUCUCACAAUUACAAGUUUAAAUCUUAUAAUUCUCACUAUUUCUCGUGAUUUUGAGGUUACAUCUCACAAUGCUGACUCUAUUUCUCGGAAUUUUGAAUUUAUUUCUCACAAUUGCCAUUUUACAUCUCACAAUGCUGACUUUUUUCUUUUGUAAACUCGUAAUUGCAAGAAAUAAAGUCAAAAUUGCACAGUGUGAACUUUUGCAGAAACAAAUGUCAGAAUUGCGAGAUUUAUUGUGAGAUAUAAACUCUGAGAUAUAAAGUCAAAAUUGUGAGAUAUAAAGUCAAAUGGUGAGAUAUAAACUCAAAAUUGUAAGCUAUAAAGUCAAAUUGUGAGAUAUAAACUCUGAGAUAUAAAAUAUAAAGUCGAAUUGUGAGAUAUGAACUCUGACAUAUAAACUCAAAAUUGUGAGAUAUAAAGUCGAAUUGUGAGAUAUGAACUCUGAGAUAUAAACUCAACAUUGUGAGAUAUAAAGUCGAAUUUUGAGAUAUGGUAAAUGGUGCUUUUAUCCAAAGCACUUUACACUAUGUCUCAUUCACCCAUUCACACACACACUCACACACCAAUGGUAGCAGAGCAGCCAUGCAAGGCGCUAACUUGCCAUCAGGAGCAACUCGGGGUUCAGUGUCUUGCCCAAGGACACUUCGGUAUGUGGAGUCAUGCGGGCCAGGAAUCGAACCGCCGACCCUACGAUUAGUCUACCACCUGAGCCACAGCCGCACAGAUAUAAACUCAAAAUGGUGAGAUAUAAACUCAAAAUUGUAAGCUAUAAAGUUGAAU
ensembl:lncRNA